GGGGAUGUAGCUCAGUGGUAGUAGCGUUUGCUUUGCAUGUAAAAGGUCGAGGGUUCGAACCCCUCCAUCUCCA